AACGAACGCUGGCGGCAGGCUUAACACAUGCAAGUCGAGCGCCCCGCAAGGGGAGCGGCAGACGGGUGAGUAACGCGUGGGAAUCUACCCAUCUCUACGGAAUAACGCAUGGAAACGUGUGCUAAUACCGUAUACGUCCUUCGGGAGAAAGAUUAUCGGAGAUGGAUGAGCCCGCGUUGGAUUAGCUAGUUGGUGGGGUAAAGGCCUACCAAGGCGACGAUCCAUAGCUGGUCUGAGAGGAUGAUCAGCCACACUGGGACUGAGACACGGCCCAGAAUCCUACGGGAGGCAGCAGUGGGGAAUAUUGGACAAUGGGCGCAGGCCUGAUCCAGCCAUGCCGCGUGAGUGAUGAAGGCCCUAGGGUUGUAAAGCUCUUUCACCGGUGAAGAUAAUGACGGUAACCGGAGAAGAAGCCCCGGCUAACUUCGUGCCAGCCGCCGCGGUAAGAC
rnacentral:rRNA from 1 species